rnacentral:rRNA from 1 species
CGAACGCUGGCGGCAGGCUUAACACAUGCAAGUCGAGCGGGCGUAGCAAUACGUCAGCGGCAGACGGGUGAGUAACGCGUGGGAACGUACCUUUUGGUUCGGAACAACACAGGGAAACUUGUGCUAAUACUGAAUAAGCCCUUACGGGGAAAGAUUUAUCGCCGAAAGAUCGGCCCGCGUCUGAUUAGCUAGUUGGUGAGGUAACGGCUCACCAAGGCGACGAUCAGUGGCUGGUCUGAGAGGAUGAUCAGCCACAUUGGGGCUGAGACACGGCCCAAACUCCUACGGGAGGCAGCAGUGGGGAAUAUUGGACAAUGGGGGCAACCCUGAUCCAGCCAUGCCGCGUGAGUGAUGAAGGCCCUAGGGUUGUAAAGCUCUUUUGUGCGGGAAGAUAAUGACGGUACCGCAAGAAUAAGCCCCGGCUAACUUCGU